rnacentral:rRNA from 1 species
UACGAAGGGGGCUAGCGUUGCUCGGAAUGACUGGGCGUAAAGGGCGCGUAGGCGGGUCUUUAAGUCAGGGGUGAAAUCCUGGAGCUCAACUCCAGAACUGCCUUUGAUACUGAGGAUCUUGAGUUCGGGAGAGGUGAGUGGAACUGCGAGUGUAGAGGUGAAAUUCGUAGAUAUUCGCAAGAACACCGGUGGCGAAGGCGGUCUGCUGGGCAGUAGCUGGACACUGAGGCGCGAAAGCGUGGGGAGCGAUCCGG